rnacentral:RNase_P_RNA from 1 species
CCAGACGGUCGGGCGGUCGCGGUCCUCGCAAGAGGGUCGAGGAAAGUCCGGGCUCCACGGUGACAAGGCGGCGGGUAACGCCCGCCGGGAGUGAUCCCAGGGAUAGCGCCACAGAAAGCAAACCUCCUCCCUACGGGGCGGGAAGGGUGAAAGGGUGGGGUAAGAGCCCACCGCGGACCUGGCGACAGGGACGGCAUGGCAAGCCCCGCCUGGAGCAAGACCGAAUAGGGACCCCGCGUCGGCCUCGCGUCGACUAGGCCGUCACUGGCUGAGUAGGGUUCGGGUAGGUCGCGAGAACCGUCCAGCAAUGGGCGGUCCAGAGGAAUGAUCGUCGCAUCCUCGCAAGAGGGUGGCACAGAACCCGGCUUAUAGACCGUCUGGUCCG